GAGCUGUGAUGAAAACAUAGUGAUGUUCGGUAACAUCAUUUCUCCUGAAAUACUGGAUGAGAAAAUAUUACUCUGAGCUC